UACGGAGGGGACUAGCGUUGUUCGGAAUUACUGGGCGUAAAGCGCACGUAGGCGGAUUGUAAGUCAGGGGUGAAAUCCCGGGGCUCAACCUCGGAACUGCCUUUGAUACUGCAAAUCUCGAGUCCGGAAGAGGUGAGUGGAAUUCCUAGUGUAGAGGUGAAAUUCGUAGAUAUUAGGAAGAACACCAGUGGCGAAGGCGGCUCACUGGUCCGGUACUGACGCUGAGGUGCGAAAGCGUGGGGAGCAAACAGG
rnacentral:rRNA from 1 species